rnacentral:rRNA from 1 species
AGUGAACGCUGGCGGUAGGCCUAACACAUGCGAGUCGAACGGCAGCACAGUAAGAGCUUGCUCUUACGGGUGGCGAGUGGCGGACGGGUGAGGAAUACAUCGGAAUCUACUUUUUCGUGGGGGAUAACGUAGGGAAACUUACGCUAAUACCGCAUACGACCUACGGGUGAAAGCAGGGGAUCUUCGGACCCUGCGCGAUUGAAUGAGCCGAUGUCGGAUUAGCUAGUUGGCGGGGUAAAGGCCCACCAAGGCGACGAUCCGUAGCUGGUCUGAGAGGAUGAUCAGCCACACUGGAACUGAGACACGGUCCAGACUCCUACGGGAGGCAGCAGUGGGGAAUAUUGGACAAUGGGCGCAAGCCUGAUCCAGCCAUACCGCGUGGGUGAAGAAGGCCUUCGGGUUGUAAAGCCCUUUUGUUGGGAAAGAAAAGCAGCAGGUUAAUACCCCGCUGUUCUGGCGGUACCCAAAGAAUAAGCACCGGCUAACUUCGUG